UUAAGUAGCUUUAUACUAUAUAAAGUGUGCUGACCGGAGAUAGUUCUCUUCUCUGGUAGAAAGACAUGGAUGUGUUGCUGUAACAGACAGCAAGACAUUGAGUAAACUUUUUCUUUUCUUUCAUUGGACUACAAAUCGACUAUUGUUAAGGUUCUAAUAAGUUUAGACAUACUUGUUAAUUCUGACCAUGCCUUGCUUAAGGACUGUAUUCAUGAAAUUUGUUUGUUGCAUAUGUUCGUACAUGUUCCUAUCUAAUUUAAUGUUGUCUGAAACUUCUGCCAAUCGACAUAGCACAACAAACUUUAGAAGUAGCUUUCUUCCAUCUGCAAAAGCUGAGAUGGAGAAGGAGAGACACACAAGUUUACAAUUGAAUAAGCUGCUUCCUGAGUGAGAGCUAGAGGCACCAGAUUUACCACUGAAUAAACUGCUCCAUUAGGCAUUGUUUUUCUUUUCUUUCCAAGUGAUUGCUUCUCUUCUCUAGCGUAGUUCUCCAGGGCUCACCAAUUUUGUUAGACUGGACCUGAUUUGUAUAUUUGUAUGCAGAUUUCUCAACACUCGGAUUUAUGGAGUCUAAGGUUUUACAUUUAGGGGACUACGGAUCUUUGGCUUUUGGCGUUGAGAUUGAUGUGCCCCUUGCUAUAUGUAAGUGGUUCUUAUGAUGUUGAUCCUUCUGCUAUGGAUUGUAGUUGGGCUCCAAUGCCAUCGCAUUAAUACUAUUGAUGGCAGUGUCCCUGCUGUUGAGAAACCCAUUACGUCACUUUUGGUGGUAUUUUUGCAUUGCCACUUAUAUAUUGUUUUAUUAUUGUUCUUGUCAAAUAGUUGUAUGCUUGAUAAUUGUUGAUGAUAUCUUAUGGUUGGAAAAGAAAUGUAUUUUUGGGCAAAAUGUCCACAUUCUUACA
rnacentral:lncRNA from 1 species